CACAGAGGAGACGUGGCUAUCGAUGAGGAAACAAGAAGAAAUUCAGAGGAAGAAAGAAAAUGGGAGAAAGGAAGAAACAGAAGAAAAGAAAUGAAGAAGAAGAAGAGGGAGAUGGGAAAAGGCAGAGAAGAGAAAGUGAACGAGAGAAGGAGAAAUCGUAAUGUCAAAAGAUGUCAAAAUGGCAUCGUUAAGUUUCUGAUAGGUUACAUAUUUUAAGUAGGCAUUCAGAUCAAUGUUAAUAUAUAGGUCGUUAUCGGAUACAUUUCCAAUCUAAUUCUUCAGUUAUUUAUGAAAAUGGUAGCUUUUUGUGAUUGAGGUUGAAGAUGCCUGAUUAUUAACCACUGACAUAAAUGAACAAUUGACAAGUCCUUCCGCAUGCGUGAAGCACGUGUAGGAAGGCUAGUAUGUGAUAAAGAG